GGACAGUGCUCUAUAUCUACUUCAGGACCAGACCUCUCUCUCUCUCUCUAUAUCUUCACGAGUGAAAGCAACUCUCCUCUCUCUCGAAGCAGUAGUAGCAAUGGCGGAGAAGUCGAGCUUCUUCGUCCAUUUCACCAUUCUUCUUCUCAUACUGAUUAUAACAAUAACAUGUUGCGAGGGAGGGAGGAAUCCUGUGCGGCGUUCAUCGGGGAGAACAUUGAUGGACGGCCACGAUCUCUCGAGGCCUCUGAAGCUGACGUUUGCUGGUCCUUCUCGGAACUGGACUGACGCCAUUCCCAUCGGCAAUGGCCGUCUCGGAGCUACGAUCUGGGGAGGCGUCUCCUCCGAGACUCUCAACAUCAAUGAGGACACGAUUUGGACUGGAGUACCAGCUGAUUACACAAACCCGAAUGCUCCAGAAGCAUUAGCACAAGUCAGGAAGCUUGUUGAUGAAAGAAAAUACCCUGAAGCUACUUCAGAAGCUGUCAAAUUAUCAGGCCAUCCUUCUGAUGUUUAUCAGCUAGUGGGAGAUUUGAAUCUACAGUUUGACAGUUCCCACCGUAAGUACACUCAAGCAUCUUACCGCCGUGAACUCGAUUUGGAAACAGCACUAGCUAAAGUAAGCUACUCUGUCGGCGCUGUGGAGUUCUCAAGAGAGUUCUUCGCUUCUCAUCCGGAUCAAGUGAUCGUACUCAAGAUCUCUUCAAGCAAACCGGGGUCACUCUCUUUCAAAGCAUCUUUCGACAGCGACUUGCACCAUCACUCGGAGACUAAAGGGAACCAGAUUCUGAUGCAAGGAAGCUGCCGCCCCAAGCGUCUCCCCGUGAACUUGAGCAAAAGCAUCAACGCCACGAAUAUACCUUACGAUGAUCACAAAGGUUUGCAGUUCGCUGCCGCUCUAGAAGUGAGAGUAAGCAGUGGCGGCUCUGUGUCUUCCUUGGGCGGCAAGAAACUAAGCGUUGAGAAAGCAGACUGGGCGGUUCUGGUUCUGACGGCUGCGUCUAACUUCGACGGUCCGUUUACCAUGCCGGUUGAUUCCAAGAGAGACCCCUCUAAGGAAUGCGUUGACAGAAUCAGCUCGGUUCAGAGAUACUCCUACUCUGAUCUUUACGGUCGUCAUUUGGGAGAUUAUCAGAAGCUUUUCAACCGAGUCUCUCUGCAACUCUCAGGUGGUGGUAAUAAAACAGAAGCAGCUUCAACUGCUGAAAGGGUGAGAUCGUUUAGAAAGGAUGAGGAUCCUUCGUUGGUGGAGCUUUUGUUCCAGUACGGUCGGUACCUUCUUAUAUCUUCUUCGAGGCCUGGAACUCAGGUGGCUAACUUGCAGGGGAUAUGGAAUAGGGACAUUCAGCCGCCGUGGGAUGGUGCUCCUCAUCUGAACAUUAAUCUCCAGAUGAACUAUUGGCAUUCUCUUCCUGCUAAUAUCAUGGAAUGCCAAGAACCUUUGUUUGAUUACAUGUCUGCUUUAGCUAUCAAUGGCCGCAAGACAGCACAAGUGAACUACGGAGCAAGUGGUUGGGUGGCACAUCAAGUAUCAGACAUAUGGGCGAAAACUUCACCGGAUAGAGGUGAGGCAGUGUGGGCUCUCUGGCCAAUGGGUGGAGCUUGGCUCUGCACUCAUGCAUGGGAGCAUUAUACAUACACAAUGGACAAGGAAUUUCUUAAAAAGAAAGGGUAUCCAUUGUUGGAAGGAUGCACAUCGUUUCUUUUGGACUGGCUAAUCAAAGGCAAAGACGGAUAUCUUCAGACUAACCCUUCCACAUCCCCUGAGCAUAUGUUCACAUCUCCAGAUGGCAAACCCGCCAGCGUUAGCUACUCAUCAACCAUGGACAUUGCCAUUGUAAAAGAAGUCUUCUCUGCUAUUGUUUCCGCAUCAGAGGUUUUGGGGAAAACGAAUGAUACUCUUAUAGCAAAAGUCAUUGCUGCACAAGGAAACCUUCCACCCACUAGACUAUCAAAGGACGGUUCUAUAAUGGAAUGGGCAGAGGACUUUGAGGACCCUGAGGUGCAUCAUAGACACGUUUCACAUCUCUUUGGUCUGUUCCCUGGUCACUCAAUCACACUUGAGAAGUCUCCUGAACUUGCUAAAGCAGUGGAAGUGUCACUUAAGAAAAGAGGAGAGGAAGGACCAGGUUGGUCCACCACUUGGAAAGCUGCCUUGUGGGCAAGGCUUCACAAUAGUGAGCACGCGUAUCGAUUGGUUACUCAUAUUUUUGAUCUGGUGGAUCCGUUAAACGAACGUAACUAUGAAGGAGGACUCUAUACUAACUUGUUCACAGCUCACCCGCCCUUCCAGAUCGAUGCCAACUUUGGAUUCUCAGCAGCUGUAGCUGAAAUGUUAGUGCAGAGCACAACGAAGGAUCUGUAUUUACUACCGGCGCUUCCUGCGGAUAAAUGGCCUAACGGUUAUGUGAAAGGGCUGAGGGCACGUGGCGGUGUGACAGUGAACAUAAGGUGGACGGAAGGGAGCCUUGUGGAGUUUGGUCUUUCGUCGGAACAGAGUGUGUCUACCAGAAUAGUGUACAGAGGAAACUCUGUGGCUACCACAUUGUCGCCAGGGAAAGUCUUUACUUUUGACAAAGAUUUGAAAUGCAUUCGGACAGAGAAGUUAUAGAAGUAAAGAGACGAGAUGUUGAUUCUCAUCUGUUUUUGUUGUCAUAUGUUUUGUUCAUCUAAGAGUGAGGAAAAAGCAUAUUGUUUGUCCAUCGUUCAACGAGCUAUGUACAAGUGUAACACACAUGUAUCCAAAACGUUUACAGUGAAGUAAUGUAUCUUGGUAUCUAUCUACUUUGUGUCGUUACCUUUCGAUGUAUCUUCACUCUUCAGUCUCUAUCAAUAUAUUAACAUGAUUAUAUGAGAA